rnacentral:misc_RNA from 1 species
UUUCCGUAGGUGAACCUGCGGAAGGAUCAUUACCGUGACGAGACCCGUGGGGGGGAAACCUUCCCUCGCUCGGCGAUCGUAGCACCAACCCUUCCUUGACACGCACCGACGUCCUUCCUCGGCGGGGCAACCCGCCGGCGGAACGUUCGCAAACCCUUUAUUCAUCUCAGCAGUAACCCGUUCCGAUGAGAAAUUCAAUCGUUACAAUCUUCAACAAUGGAUCUCUUGGCUCUGGCAUCGAUGAAGAACGCAGC